rnacentral:rRNA from 1 species
GGUUAAGCGACUAAGCGUACACGGUGGAUGCCCUGGCAGUCAGAGGCGAUGAAGGACGUGCUAAUCUGCGAUAAGCGUCGGUAAGGUGAUAUGAACCGUUAUAACCGGCGAUUUCCGAAUGGGGAAACCCAGUGUGUUUCGACACACUAUCAUUAACUGAAUCCAUAGGUUAAUGAGGCGAACCGGGGGAACUGAAACAUCUAAGUACCCCGAGGAAAAGAAAUCAACCGAGAUUCCCCCAGUAGCGGCGAGCGAACGGGGAGCAGCCCAGAGCCUGAAUCAGUGUGUGUGUUAGUGGAAGCGUCUGGAAAGGCGCGCGAUACAGGGUGACAGCCCCGUACACAAAAAUGCACAUGCUGUGAGCUCGAUGAGUAGGGCGGGACACGUGGUAUCCUGUCUGAAUAUGGGGGGACCAUCCUCCAAGGCUAAAUACUCCUGACUGACCGAUAGUGAACCAGUACCGUGAGGGAAAGGCGAAAAGAACCCCGGCGAGGGGAGUGAAAAAGAACCUGAAACCGUGUACGUACAAGCAGUGGGAGCACGCUUAGGCGUGUGACUGCGUACCUUUUGUAUAAUGGGUCAGCGACUUAUAUUCUGUAGCAAGGUUAACCGAAUAGGGGAGCCGAAGGGAAACCGAGUCUUAACUGGGCGUUAAGUUGCAGGGUAUAGACCCGAAACCCGGUGAUCUAGCCAUGGGCAGGUUGAAGGUUGGGUAACACUAACUGGAGGACCGAACCGACUAAUGUUGAAAAAUUAGCGGAUGACUUGUGGCUGGGGGUGAAAGGCCAAUCAAACCGGGAGAUAGCUGGUUCUCCCCGAAAGCUAUUUAGGUAGCGCCUCGUGAAUUCAUCUCCGGGGGUAGAGCACUGUUUCGGCAAGGGGGUCAUCCCGACUUACCAACCCGAUGCAAACUGCGAAUACCGGAGAAUGUUAUCACGGGAGACACACGGCGGGUGCUAACGUCCGUCGUGAAGAGGGAAACAACCCAGACCGCCAGCUAAGGUCCCAAAGUCAUGGUUAAGUGGGAAACGAUGUGGGAAGGCCCAGACAGCCAGGAUGUUGGCUUAGAAGCAGCCAUCAUUUAAAGAAAGCGUAAUAGCUCACUGGUCGAGUCGGCCUGCGCGGAAGAUGUAACGGGGCUAAACCAUGCACCGAAGCUGCGGCAGCGACGCUGAUGCGUUGUUGGGUAGGGGAGCGUUCUGUAAGCCUGCGAAGGUGUGCUGUGAGGCAUGCUGGAGGUAUCAGAAGUGCGAAUGCUGACAUAAGUAACGAUAAAGCGGGUGAAAAGCCCGCUCGCCGGAAGACCAAGGGUUCCUGUCCAACGUUAAUCGGGGCAGGGUGAGUCGACCCCUAAGGCGAGGCCGAAAGGCGUAGUCGAUGGGAAACAGGUUAAUAUUCCUGUACUUGGUGUUACUGCGAAGGGGGGACGGAGAAGGCUAUGUUGGCCGGGCGACGGUUGUCCCGGUUUAAGCGUGUAGGCUGGUUUUCCAGGCAAAUCCGGAAAAUCAAGGCUGAGGCGUGAUGACGAGGCACUACGGUGCUGAAGCAACAAAUGCCCUGCUUCCAGGAAAAGCCUCUAAGCAUCAGGUAACAUCAAAUCGUACCCCAAACCGACACAGGUGGUCAGGUAGAGAAUACCAAGGCGCUUGAGAGAACUCGGGUGAAGGAACUAGGCAAAAUGGUGCCGUAACUUCGGGAGAAGGCACGCUGAUAUGUAGGUGAAGUCCCUUGCGGAUGGAGCUGAAAUCAGUCGAAGAUACCAGCUGGCUGCAACUGUUUAUUAAAAACACAGCACUGUGCAAACACGAAAGUGGACGUAUACGGUGUGACGCCUGCCCGGUGCCGGAAGGUUAAUUGAUGGGGU